GAGCGCGUGGAGGAAGUAUGAGAACAUGUCGGUUUAGCAUUGGACGUUGUAACCGGAUACGGAAAUUCAUUUACGAUCACAUCGUGGAUCAUCGUAUACGAACUGUCACCAACACUAUAUUCUCCGCUAUAAUGUGAGCGGUGCAAGUACAACGCGAAGUCAACCGAUAUCCUAACGACCUUCAAGCCCCAUUCGUCACGAUCGUACUUAGUCGAACCGCAGGGGCCGGAAAAUGUAUUGCUAAAGCAGAAAGUAAUACCAGAAGCCUGCAAUAUGGGAUCAACUGGAUAACGUUUUGCUACACGUGACGCUGAACUGCAAUUGAA
rnacentral:misc_RNA from 1 species